AACUUUGAAAUGACAUCUGUAUUCAGUAAGCUGAAAAAUAAAUACUAUCACACCAAUAAUGUAGUGAAGUACAGAAUAUAUGCUUUGUGACAUAGUUUCCAGUAGUAGGUAUCUCCUAGUUUUAAUUAAUUUAGAUUUAAGAUUUUAGAGUCCUUAAUUCUACUUUUCUGAAGGUGACUUGAAGGAUAGAUUUGUCACCAAAUUGACCAGGCAUGCAAAAUAACGAGAGUGCUCCAUACAUCCCAUACCUGCAGGUGAAUAUGCAACAGCAUUUAGCUGUUACAUGUACUAAACCAACAGCCUUUACUGUUACACAGAAUGCAAUUCUUAGAACUAAAAUACAUACAUGGAAAAAAGUAGCAGGUUUAUUUCCAUGCUUCUUGAUGCUGAGGCACUUUUAAGUAAUUUUCCUAGUGAUGUAACUUCACCAUCAAUAUCAAUUUUUAAUGUCUUCAAGGGACGUCUCAGAUUUUAUGUUUCUGGGGACAUUUUAGUCAAACCUCCUGCUCUCUGAAAGAGCUUGUUCUCCAAGUUCCUCCUGCUCUGAUUUAGGACCUAUUUAAACUUAAUACCUAUGAAUGGAAAAAAGCUUGCAGCUCUAGAUAAUAAAUGUUACAACUGCCACCAUACCUAUCAUUCUUCCUCUGAAACUAUCAUUUUUAUGUAUCUAUUCCUGAUUUAAGGGGGAUUCUGAUAGGAAUGACAUUCUACUGUUAUUCUCUAAACCAAAUAACUGUGUCAACUGGUUUCUUGGACCCAUGCUAGACAAAACAUGGAGACAUUUCAGCAAGCAGGUCCUGCGAUGCUCCUGAAGCAACGAGGAGAACCAGAUACUGGAAAGAAACAAUUAUAACUCUGUGGAAGACAACAUGCCUGUGUUGGUAAGUUUGCAUAGGUACAAUUCUUACUUUGUACAUAAAACUUCAGAUUAGAAAUGCAUAAUUAUGUAUUUAUUCUGGGAAAGUGUAAAUCAUGACAUAAUGCAUAGAACUACAAAGACAGUUUCCCUUGUUCUAGUCACAAGGGAAUAUUAAGAUGAGGACCAAUUUAAAAUAUCAAAUCGUAGUGCUUAUAAACUGAACCUAAUUAUUAGUUUUUUACGAACAUCAUAUAAAGUAAUUUCUGAUAAGAUUAAACAAUUAUUCUGGACCUUGUUAACAUUUCAUGAAUCCAGGCCUUUCCAUUCUCUCAGCCUUCCUAUGCAGCUGAGCUUUUAUUAUAAUUGACAUUUGUUAGUAGCGGAAUUGUUGACUUUUGCUACAGUAGUCUCGUACAACAGUUUAAGUCCCUUCAGAAUUUCUUCUGAGAGCAAUGAGUCUGAGUUAUCACACUCCCUAAACACACAUUUCAAGAACCUGAGGCUUUUAGAGAAGAUGUAGCCAUAUUGCCCUUGGUCGAUACAAUUACUAUUUCCACCUAUAGCUCAGAAGUACAACUACAUUUUAGGAAAGCAAUUCUCUGCCUCUUAGGUACCUCUUCACUGCAAAAAUAUUCCAAGUGACUAUCGAUCCUAUUUAUAGUAUGAAUCGCUUCUUUUUGUGACUUUAAAUCUUAUUCUCACUUCGUCUUCCAGUAAAGCAUGAGAAAGUAGGAAAAAAGCUGGCUCAAAGAACAGUUUUAAGAAACCCUGAAGCUUUGCUCAGAGAUCCCUAGCCAGCUUUACAUUUCAUUACAGUAACACAGAUUUUACAUGCAUAAUUCCAUGUAUUAAACUACUUUCUUUCUACUUUGAAAUCUUUGAAAUCUACUGUUUAGGUAAUUUCAGUUCCUGCUGUUUUGUUUUCCUUAAGUAAACCCUGAAGCGCUGAGGUAACAACAUCACCAAACUGCCAGAACAUGAACAGAAUUAAUUUUAAAGUGAUGUUAUAAAAGCAUUAAGGCUGCAGCACCAAGCAGUCAAAAGUUAGUUAAAUGUUGGACUCAGAAUUCUCUAUGCAAAUGUAAUGUAAUUUCUUUGUGGCUUGUAAAAAUAAAGUCUUAUUCAGCAAAACAGAAGAAGCCUCUGAUCAAGAAUAAACCACAGUUUUUCUAGGUUAUUUCAAUGCUUCAAACAUUACACAAAUAUUUUCCAGACAUCUUUUACUUUGUUCUUUUUUAAUUUUGUAAUUUUCAUAGAGCAAGGAGUUCUAUGAAAUUGUGUAAUUAAAUACUCUAACACAAUUAAAAUGUACAUGGGGAACAAGCAUGGGACUAAUCCUUGGGAAAGCGAAUGCAAGACUGUGGCCCAUGCAGUCAGUGCAGCAAUGUAACUUCCUAGCACAUGCUGUUGGCAUAGAACCAUUUCUGGUUUAAAAAGACCCAGUUCUUCAACAUUUGAUUCAAAUCUGGAUUUUCUGAAAGCCAAAGUUUCUCAGAUUCUGACAAGAAAAUUGCAAAUCAAUUACCUGACUCGGCUUCAAAUUUAGAAUCAGAAUUUAAUAUUGUGGUUGUUGGGCAUUUUUACCUUUGCAUUUACAGUAAUGUUCAAAGUAGCAAAUCUUACCAAAUAAAUGGCAAUUGCCCCAUGUGAUUUAUUUAUAACUGCAUAAUCAGAAAAAAUGAAAUCCCAUGUAACCUACCCUCAGACACUGGCUACAAUAGCUGUUAAAAAAAUGGAAGAAUGUUUGACUAAAAACAUUCCUAAGGAAAUGAAGUACAUGAAAAAAUGUG